rnacentral:rRNA from 1 species
GGGGAAUAUUGCACAAUGGGCGCAAGCCUGAUGCAGCCAUGCCGCGUGUGUGAAGAAGGCCUUCGGGUUGUAAAGCACUUUCAGCGGGGAGGAAGGCGGCGAGGUUAGUAACCUCAUCGAUUGACGUUACCCGCAGAAGAAGCACCGGCUAACUCCGUGCCAGCAGCCGCGGUAAUACGGAGGGUGCAAGCGUUAAUCGGAAUUACUGGGCGUAAAGCGCACGCAGGCGGUCUGUCAAGUCGGAUGUGAAAUCCCCGGGCUCAACCUGGGAACUGCAUUCGAAACUGGCAGGCUAGAGUCUUGUAGAGGGGGGUAGAAUUCCAGGUGUAGCGGUGAAAUGCGUAGAGAUCUGGAGGAAUACCGGUGGCGAAGGCGGCUCCCUGGACAAAGACUGACGCUCAGGUGCGAAAGCGUGGGGAGCAAAC